rnacentral:rRNA from 1 species
GACGAACGCUGGCGGCGUGCUUAACACAUGCAAGUCGAACGAGAAAGCACCUUCGGGUGUGAGUACAGUGGCGAACGGGUGAGUAACACGUGGGCAACCUGCCCUGGAGACUGGGAUAACGUCCCGAAAGGGACGCUAAUACCGGAUGAUGCGCGACCUGCCAAGUAGGUCGCGCCAAAUGGUAGCUUCGGCUUCUACUCUGGGAUGGGCCCGCGCCGGAGUAGCUUGUUGGUGGGGUAAUGGCCUACCAAGGCGACGAUCCGUAGCUGGUCUGAGAGGACGAUCAGCCACACUGGGACUGAGACACGGCCCAGACUCCUACGGGAGGCAGCAGUGGGGAAUCUUGCGCAAUGGGCGGAAGCCUGACGCAGCAACGCCGCGUGAGCGAAGACGGCCUUCGGGUUGCAAAGCUCUGUCAGGAGGGACGAAGCCACUCAGGUGAAUAGCCGAGAGGGUGACGGUACCUCCAGAGGAAGCCCCGGCUAACUACGUGCCAGCCGCCGCCGUAAUAC